GACGAACGCUGGCGGCGUGCCUAAUACAUGCAAGUAGAACGCACAGUUUAUACCGUAGCUUGCUACACCAUAGACUGUGAGUUGCGAACGGGUGAGUAACGCGUAGGUAACCUGCCUGGUAGCGGGGGAUAACUAUUGGAAACGAUAGCUAAUACCGCAUAAUAUUAAUUAUUGCAUGAUAAUUAAUUGAAAGGUGCAAUUGCACCACUACCAGAUGGACCUGCGUUGUAUUAGCUAGUAGGUGAGGUAACGGCUCACCUAGGCGACGAUACAUAGCCGACCUGGGAGGGUGAUCGGCCACACUGGGACUGAGACACGGCCCAGACUCCUACGGGAGGCAGCAGUAGGGAAUCUUCGGCAAUGGACGAAAGUCUGACCGAGCAACGCCGCGUGAGUGAAGAAGGGUUUCGGAUCGUAAAGCUCUGUUGUAAGAGAAGAAAGGGUGUGAGAGUGGAAAGUUCACACUGUGACGGUAUCUUACCAGAAAGGGACGGCUAACUACGUG
rnacentral:rRNA from 1 species